rnacentral:rRNA from 1 species
AUUGAACGCUGGCGGCAGGCCUAACACAUGCAAGUCGAACGGUAACAGGAAGCAGCUUGCUGCUUUGCUGACGAGUGGCGGACGGGUGAGUAAUGUCUGGGAAACUCCCCGAUGGAGGGGGAUAACUACUGGAAACGGUAGCUAAUACCGCAUAACGUCGCAAGACCAAAGAGGGGGACCUUAGGGCCUCUUGCCAUCGGAUGUGCCCAGAUGGGAUUAGCUAGUAGGUGGGGUAACGGCUCACCUAGGCGACGAUCCCUAGCUGGUCUGAGAGGAUGACCAGCCACACUGGAACUGAGACACGGUCCAGACUCCUACGGGAGGCAGCAGUGGGGAAUAUUGCACAAUGGGCGCAAGCCUGAUGCAGCCAUGCCGCGUGUAUGAAGAAGGCCUUCGGGUUGUAAAGUACUUUCAGCGGGGAGGAAGGGAGUAAAGUUAAUACCUUUGCUCAUUGACGUUACCCGCAGAAGAAGCACCGGCUAACUCCGUG